AUACUUACCUGGCAGCAGAAAUACCAUGAUCACAAAUGUGGUUUUCCCAGGGUGAGCCCUACCCAUCGCACUCUGGAUAUACUGACAUUUGCAGUUUCCCCAAAUGGGAGAAACUCAACUGCAUAAUUUGUGGUAGUGGGGGACUGUGUUCGUGCUCUCCCCAG